AUACUUAUUGGCAGGGGAGACACCAUGAUCAUGAAGGUGGUUUUCCCAGGGCGAGGCUUAUCCAUUGCACUCCAGAUGUGCUGACCCCUGCGAUUUCCCCAAAUGUGGGAAACUGGACUACAUAAUUUGUGGUAGUGGGGGACUGUGUUUGCACUUUCCCCUA
rnacentral:snRNA from 1 species